rnacentral:rRNA from 1 species
CCGCGUUUCAUUAGCUAGUUGGUGGGGUAACGGCCUACCAAGGCGACGAUGAAUAGCUGGUCUGAGAGGAUGACCAGCCACACUGGGACUGGAACACGGCCCAGACUCCUACGGGAGGCAGCAGUGGGGAAUAUUGCGCAAUGGGGGAAACCCUGACGCAGCGACGCCAUGUGAGGGACGAGGGCUUUCGGGUCGUAAACCUCUGUCAGGAGGGAAGAAACUGUUUGAGGCUAAUACCCUCUUUCACUGACGGUACCUCCAGAGGAAGCACCGGCUAACUCCGUGCCAGCAGCCGCGGUAAUACGGAGGGUGCGAGCGUUAAUCGGAAUCACUGGGCGUAAAGAGCGUGUAGGCGGUUUAGCAAGUCAGAUGUGAAAGCCCUGGGCUCAACCCGGGAAGUGCAUUUGAAACUGCUUCACUAGAGUAUGGGAGAGGAGACUGGAAUUCCUGGUGUAGAGGUGAAAUCCGUAGAUAUCAGGAGGAACACCCGUGGCGAAGGCGAUUCUCUGGACCAAUACUGACGCUGAGACGCGAAAGCGUGGGGAGCAAACAGGAUUAGAUACCCUGGUAGUCCACGCCGUAAACGAUGGACACUAGAUGCCGG